rnacentral:rRNA from 1 species
CCCCAGACUCCUACGGGAGGCAGCAGUGAGGAAUAUUGGUCAAUGGUCGGGAGACUGAACCAGCCAAGCCGCGUGAGGGAUGAAGGUACAGAGUAUCGUAAACCUCUUUUGUCAGGGAACAAAGGCGGGGACGUGUCCCCGGAUGAGUGUACCUGAAGAAAAAGCAUCGGCUAACUCCGUGCCAGCGGCCGCGGUAAUACGGAGGAUGCGAGCGUUAUCCGGAUUUAUUGGGUUUAAAGGGGGCGCAGGCGGUGUGUAAAGCGAGGGGUGAAAGCCCGGGGCCCACCCCCGGCCCGCCGUUGAAACUGGCAGUCUCGAGUUGGAGAGAAGUAUGCGGAAUGCGCGGUGUAGCGGUGAAAUGCAUAGAUAUCGCGCAGAACUCCGAUUGCGAAGGCAGCAUGCCGGCUCCACACUGACGCUGAGGCACGAAAGCGUGGGUAUCGAACAGGAUUAGAUACCCUAGUAA